CGCUUGCUGUGCGUUAUACUUGUAGAGAACGAGCGUUUCGACCGGAAAAGACCGGUGAACUUCCAGUUAAGUCGUUAACAUUCGAUCGAUAUAUUGGACCCUUCAAAUUACGGAAGACGUGUUAAACGUUACCGUUGAACGCUAUCCAUUUCCAUCCGAGCAAUUUCACUAUACGAUAAAGCGAGCGAGAUUAACAAACGUUUUCUGCCAGACUAGCUUCUGUACCGAGUCGUCGCCCUUUGGAGUUGAAUUUUAGUUGGGAUAUUAAGACUGACCAGCACUAGAAUAUACCUCAGAACUAUCGACAGUUGAUAGUGUCGAACUGAUGUCCUUUCGACACCACACACCGUCACAAUCUGCUUGCCACCUUGUUAGAUGUAUCUACGAUACCACGUUUUCCCCCUACGCGUGACUUUGACCGUACCAAUUGGUGAGCACCUACUGCGUGAAGUCAAGCCGUUCGAAACUACAGUCAUGGAUAAAUUAACGGCAAUAGCAUGGCCGCUAGAGGUGGCUUGAAUGAGCAAUGCAAACCCUUCGAAAAUUCUAAACUAAAUACAUAGAAAGAUCAGUAACUUGACGAAAAUGAACAGCAAAAAUGCUUCAGGGAGAGACAUGAACUCCUGAGCGAUUGGUGCAUCAGCUUAAGCGGACAUUAUAAAGUUUCGUGCGAAUAAAUUUGCAUUUUUCCCGCA